rnacentral:lncRNA from 1 species
CAAAUCCACCCCUCCCCCACCUUAACACAAUUAUCCCUCAACUUGGCCUCUUUAUCAAAAGCAAUUUCAUAAAUUCUAGGAUAGAAAUCUUUAAGUUUGUAACAGCUCAUCCACUCAUCAUGCUAGAAACUGAUAUCUCCCCCAUUCCAUAGUUGCCACCUAACAUAAUCCACAAAGGAACCACUGUCAUCACAAAUUUUCUUCCAUAGGCUCAUUCCAUGAACUCUAAAUCUUC